UGCGGUUCUUGCGCUGUCCGGUGCGCUCGCGUCGGCCCUUGAAAUCCGAGUGAGGGAGUGUGAUUUUCGUGCCGGACCGUACCCACAUCCGCAGCAGGUCUCCAAGGUGAACAGCCUCUAGUCGAUGGACCAAUGUAGGUAAGGGAAGUCGGCAAAACGGAUCCGUAACCUUGGGAUAAGGAUUGGCUCUGAGGACUGAGCCGGUCGGGCUGGGGACCUGAAGCAGGAACGGCACUGCACCGGGACUGGGCGGGGCUCGCCGUUCACGCGGCGCGGCCAAGCCCGGACCAGCGUCGGGACCUUCCUGUGGAAAGCCUCAGCUGCGCGGCGUCUGAGGGCUUCGUGCCCAAAGUGCUAUGCUUCGGCCGGCAAAAAACAGUCAACUCAGAACUGGCACGGACCGGGGGAAUCCGACUGUCUAAUUAAAACAAAGCAUUGCGAUGGCCGCUGGUCGGUGUUGACGCAAUGUGAUUUCUGCCCAGUGCUCUGAAUGUCAACGUGAAGAGAUUCAUCAAAGCGCGGGUAAACGGCGGGAGUAACUAUGACUCUCUUGUGUCUUGUUGGACACGAGGGGGUUGCCCUUGGAGGGGUUGUUCUCUAGCGAGAGUGGCAUGCACGCCACUUGUUCGCUUGGAGAACCAUGGUUGCUUGCUUAGCGCAAAAUCCGACUCCGACCUGCACGUGGUGCCCGCCGCCUGACAUGUAUGCCGAGGAAAGGGGUGCAACGAUCCCUGGAUACUUGUUAGCAACAGGAGCUCCGGUACCGUGGCUUCGGCCACUGUAGCAUUGCUACUGCGGGUAUGUGGGCUACCAACCCACUGCCCUAAGCUACCUUGGUCCAAAACAAAUAAAGGAAAAAUUUCUAAGU
rnacentral:ncRNA from 1 species